CUUCAAGUCUGAUGACUGAGAUGAUCCAACCUCACAGAAUACUCCAAUCAGGCAGAUAUCAAAUGAAAAUUGGAACAAAGGUAUCAACUGGCUGUCAAGACAAAAUAGCAGAGUGCGGAGCCUCAUAAAGCACUGAGUGAUCACGCAUGGCAAAGAAUAUGGUAUUUGCUCCAUUUUUCAUGUGAAGAUGUGGUCUAAGAUUGCAAAGAAUUCCAAAAAGACAAAGAUGGUUUUAAAACAAGGAAGCAGACACCUGACUCAGUAUGCUGUCAUCACAAAUGAUUCAGCAUCACCUAAGAGACACACUUCAUGACUUGUGUGUGAGGGUCUUUCCGGAGAGGCUGAUCUGAGAAUGGAAGGCCUACGUGGAUGUGGACAUCAUCUGCAAUCCCAGGCUGAGGAAGAGUGGAAAGGGAAAAGCAAGCUAAACCAGCAUUCAUUUUUCUCAUCUUCCUUAGUGACAGGACUGCCUUUAUCCCUCUCCCACUCUUUGAGGCUCUAUAUCAAACCUCGAGCCUCCCUAGCCACCUUGUUUUAGGGCACCGGUUUCCACCUUCUGAAGCUGGAAUUGCAGGUUGGCCACCAUGCCCACCCUGAAUUUACUUGGGUUCUGGGGAUCCAAACUCCAGUCUCCAUGCUUGCCAAGAGCUAAAACCGCUGUGCCGUCUCCAGGGCUCCAAUAUGCUGAGUUUUUAAGGAAUAUACUACUCGUCUGGUUAGAGAAUCUUAGUAUUUUUAAAUGAAUUUCUAAGCUGUGUACUUAAUUAUUCAAAAUAUUUGCGAAUGAUAAUACAUCUUAUUUGUUAAAUAACAA